rnacentral:tRNA from 2 species
GCCGACGUGGUGGAAUUGGUAGACACGCUAUCUUGAGGGGGUAGUGGCUUAGGCUGUGCGAGUUCGAGUCUCGCCGUCGGCACCA